rnacentral:lncRNA from 1 species
ACUUUUUUGCUUUCUGGCACAAUAAGAUGUUCCAGGUUUUCUGGUGUUUUCCUGGCUCUAGCCCUGAAUCAGCCAUUUCAUCAAGGAGCCCUGGUUCCUUUUAAUGGAGAAUGAUAUUUAGAAACCAAGAUUUGGGUGCUGUAGGUGCUCAUUCAUAUGGUGUGUUAUUGCUUCCAGUUGGUCCUUUUUAUUAUCCAUUCAUUUGGAUACAAUGGUGAGGGCGC